rnacentral:rRNA from 1 species
UACGGGGGGGGCAAGCGUUGUUCGGAAUUACUGGGCGUAAAGGGCUCGUAGGCGGCCAACUAAGUCAGACGUGAAAUCCCUCGGCUUAACCGGGGAACUGCGUCUGAUACUGGAUGGCUUGAGUUCGGGAGAGGGAUGUGGAAUUCCAGGUGUAGCGGUGAAAUGCGUAGAUAUCUGGAGGAACACCGGUGGCGAAGGCGGCAUCCUGGACCGGCAUUGACGCUGAGGAGCGAAAGCCAGGGGAGCAAACGGG